UACGAAGGGUGCAAGCGUUAAUCGGAAUUACUGGGCGUAAAGGGUGCGUAGGCGGUUCGUUAAGUCUGUCGUGAAAUCCCCGGGCUCAACCUGGGAAUGGCCGUUGAAACUGGCGAACUGGAGUGUGGCAGAGGGGGGUGGAAUUCCGCGUGUAGCAGUGAAAUGCGUAGAGAUGCGGAGGAACACCGAUGGCGAAGGCAGCCCCCUGGGCUGACACUGACGCUCAGGCACGAAAGCGUGGGGAGCAAACAGG
rnacentral:rRNA from 1 species